rnacentral:rRNA from 1 species
UACGAAGGGGGCUAGCGUUGUUCGGAAUUACUGGGCGUAAAGCGUGCGCAGGCGGCUUCUCAAGUCAGGGGUGAAAGCCCAGAGCUUAACUCUGGAAUUGCCUUUGAGACUGAGAGGCUUGAGUACGGGAGAGGUGAGUGGAAUUCCCAGUGUAGAGGUGAAAUUCGUAGAUAUUGGGAAGAACACCGGUGGCGAAGGCGGCUCACUGGCCCGUAACUGACGCUCAGGCACGACAGCGUGGGGAUCAAACAGG